AUGGAUGAGGCUACUGCCACCGACAGUAGGGCUGGUGAUGGUACUGAGGCUAAUGUUUCUGAUCACCAUACAAAUGAUGUUGGCUUGGAGUGCCCUGUUGUUGAUGAGACCAGUCAUAAUGUUGAGGCUGCUGUUCACCGUGGAUUUAAUGAUCCAUCUACUGAUAAGUGCAAGGGUCCUGUUGUUGGCGAUGAGCCUUGUUCGACCAUUAGUGAUGUUCCUUUGAAUGUUAGCAGCAGCAAGAUCGAUGAUGUUGCUGUGAAUGCUGCUAAGAUGACUGAUGUUGAGCGUCAGGCUGUCCUUAGUGGUGGAGAUGAUGCUCGCGGUGUUCCAUUGAGUAGUGGGCGCGAUGUUGGUACCAAAGUUGCUGAUGAGGAUGUUGGUGCUGCCAGCAUACUUGAUGCCAAAUCGUCUGGUGUUGGUAUUGCUGGGAAUGAAAAUCUUUCUGAUUGUGAAGAUUUGCCGCCGGAAAAUUUCCUGCCUGGAGGGCUCGAUUACGGUGAUGCAUUGCAAGAUGCCUCUAGUGUGGAGGAGGAACUCCCGUCGUCAAACGCUGAUAGUGCAGACGGUGCUAAUGUUGUUAAGGUUGAUUUGUUUUUCUUCGCUGUUACGAGGUUGCGCACCAAUCGUGCGAAACAUGACAAGCCGAUGUUUCAAAAUAUAGAAUGUGAUGGCAGUGUUGGUUCUAUUGCUAAAGCGUUUGUCCCCACUGGCAUGCUCAACUCAGACAAUGCUGACGUUGUUUUAUAUUCUCUACGUCAGAAGUACCGAGACACUGACAAGUUGAUAGUUCUCAGAUGGCUUCUUUUCCCUACUUUUGAUCCGCAGUCAUUUGCGGCUGCCAUGAAGCCUACUGAAGAAUCUAGGCAUUGGUGCUUGAUUGUUCUGAAUUUGAGGUUCCGUCGUUUCGAGUGUCUUGAUUCACUCCGCGAUGAAACCUAG
rnacentral:rRNA from 1 species